rnacentral:rRNA from 1 species
UAUUUAUUAGAUAACAGACCAAUAUUCCUCGUGUCUAUUGUGGUGACUCAUAGUAACUGAUCGGAUCGCAUGGCCUUGUGCCGCGACUAACCAUUCAAGUUUCUGACCCAUCAGCUUUCGAUGGUAGUGUAUUGGACUACCAUGGCUUUCACGGGUAACGGAGGAUUAGGGUUCGAUUCCGGAGAGGGAGCCUGAGAAACGGCUACCACAUCUAAGGAAGGCAGCAGGCGCGUAAAUUACCCAAUCCUGACUCAGGGAGGUAGUGACAAGAAGUAACGGGUCGGGGCAUUCGCCUCGGGAUUGCAAUGAAUCGAAUUUACACCCCUUAAUGAGGAUCAAUUGGAGGGCAAGUCUGGUGCCAGCAGCCGCGGUAAUUCCAGCUCCAAUAGCGUAUAUUAAAGUUGUUGCAGUUAAAAAGCUCGUAGUUUGAUUUCUGGACGGGCGCCAACACCCGCUUGUUUAGUGUGGAGGCGGCGCCCGCCCAUCCUUCUGUUAACGCCACCGGCAUUCAUUUGCUGGCGGCGGGCUCAGAUAUUUUACCUUGAGAAAAUUAGAGUGUUUCAGGCAGGCUUGCGC